CCUUCCUCAUAUUUACGUAUAUGGUAUCAUACUUCAUUUUAUUUUGUGAGUCCCUUAACUGAUUUUUAUAGAUAUAUAGAUAUCCUUAUUUUUACAACUUUUUUGUUUUGUACUUUUUAAAAUUAUGGUCUUUCCUUUCUACUCAUAGAGUCCUCUUUAACAUUUCCUGUAGGGCUGGUUUAGUGGUCAUGAGCUCUUUUAACUUUUGUUUGCCUGGGAAGCUAUCUUUCCUUCUAUUCUGAAUGAUAGCCUUGCUGGAUAGAAUAUUCUUUGCUGCAGAUUUUUUCCUUUUAAGCACUUUGAAUAUAUCAUGCCUCUCCUUUCUGGACUGCAGUUUCUCUUGAAAAAUCUGCUGAUAGCUUUAUGGGGUUUCCCUUUUAUGCAACUGUUUUGAUGCUUAUAAAAUUCUUUAUCACUGCAUUUCAACUAUGUGUCUCCAUUUGGUCCUUUUGGGUUGAUUUUGUUGGGGGAUCUCUGUGCCUCCCAGAUCUGAAUUUCUGUUUCCUUCCCCCAAAUUUGGGAAUUUUUCAGCUAUUAUUUCUUCAAAUAAACUUUCUAAUCCCUUUUCUAUCUCUUCCUCUCCUGGGGUCCCUCUAAUGCUAAUGUUAUUACACUUGAUGGAGUCACUGAGUUCCCUAAGCCUCUUCUAUUUUUGCAUAUUUUUUUUCUUUCAACUGCUUAGCUUGUUUACUUUCCAUUAUUCUAGGUUGCUGAUUCAUUCUUCUGCUUCUUCCAGUUUGCUGUUUAUUCCAUGUAGUGUAUUUUGAAUUUCAGUUAUUGUGUUCUUCAUCUGUUUGGUUCUUUUUUCUCUGUGUGUUAAGGAUUUCAUUGAUGUCCCUUACUCUUAAGUCCAGUGAGAAUUACUUUAAAUUCUCUAUCAGACAUAUGACUAAUCUCUUUUUCACGUAGGUCUCUUUCUGUGAUUUUGUCCUGUUUUUUCAUUUGGGACAUAUUCCUCUGGAUCCUCAUUUUGCCUAACUCUCUGUCUGUUCCUAUGUGUUAGAAAGUCAGCUAUGUCUCUGUUCCUGAAAGUAGUGGGUGGGGCCACAUUUUUUUUAAAGAUUUUAUUUAUUUACUCAUGAGAGACAGAGAGAGAGAGAGAGAGAGAGAGGCAGAGACACAGGUAGAGGAGAAGCAGGCUCCAUGCAAGAAGCCUGACAUGGGACUCGAUCCAGGGUCUCCAGGAUCACGCCCUGAACUGAAGGCAGCGCUAAACCACUGAGCCACCUAGGCUGCCCUGGUGGGCCACAUUUUUAACAAGGUGGCCCUCGUCUUCUUUCACAGAAGACAUGCAGUUGCUGUGGAAAACUGACCACUUGAGCUCCUUUGCAAAGCAUGUGCAGGCAAGGCUUCAGUGCCUGCAAGGUGUGCGUAUCUGUCCUCUUCCAUGGGGAUGCAUAGUCACUGUGGAGACUGGGCCAGCUGGGGCAGAUCUGCAAAGCACACCUGGGCAGGGGCUACAGUUUUAACAAGGUAUGCACACCUUCUGUGGGUGAUGACUACCUUUCGCAGCCAGGACUGAGUCCCUGAAAAUCACACAAUGGGAAGAUAUAGUCUUGGCAAGGUUUGCACAGAUCUUCUAGGGGAGGGGACUUGCAACACCAGAAGUGAGGCAAGCCCAGCUGGAGGGGGUGGGGCAUGUAUAAACAAAUUAGGUAGUGAAUGCUGGUUCCCACAGGUGGCUGUGUGCUUAUGCUGGGUUGUGGAAGACAGAAGUGGCACCUGCUAACUCCUUUGUUCUGGAGAAGUUCUUCACUUACUCUGAGAUUAGUAACUAUCCCUCCUAUAAGCCCUAUGCGUUUUUCAAACUGCUGAUUCUAAGCUGUAACUCCUUGGGCUGUUUGUUGUGCUGUCUCUUAAGGGCAGGGAUUUAACUUCCUAUUGCCCCCUGGAUUCUCCCAGAACUAAGCUAACUGGUUUUUUUUUUUUUUAAUUUUUAUUUAUUUAUGAUAGUCACAGAGAGAGAGAGAGGCAGAGACACAGGCAGAGGGAGAAGCAGGCUCCAUGCACCGGGAGCCCGACAUGGGAAUCAAUCCAGGGUCUCCCGGAUCGGGCCCUGGGCCAAAGGCAGGUGCCAAACCGCUGUGCCACCCAGGGAUCCCAGCUAACUGGUUUUUAAAGCUCUAGACUUUAAGUCCCAUUGACUGUAAAAACUUACAGAAUUUGGCCCUUCUGAUUUUCAAAGCCAAAUGCUAUGGGAAUUCAUCUUUGCUGUGCAGGCACCCUGGUGUGAUAGUCUGUUUCUCAUCCUUUUUCCCACUCAAGGCUCUCCCCUUCCCUCCCUCCAGUGGCCAGACCUGCAGGGUUUACCUCCCCACCAAGUCUCUACCCUUCCUACCCUCUCAGAUGUGACCUCUUGUCUACAUUUAAUUGUGGAGUUUAUUCUGCCAUUUUGGGGUCAUUUCCUGGGUUGUUUACACUGAUGUGUUAUCUCGUAUUUGUAUGACAAGGUGAGUUUAGGGUCAUCCUACUUGGUCUUCUUCCAUAGUUAGUUCCUUAGUUAGGUAAGAUUUUUAAGUCAUGAAUUUAUGUUGAAUUUUAUCAAAUGCUUUUCUACAUCUGUUGAGAUAUUUGUAUGGUUUUUCACUUUAAUCAGUUAAUGUAGUAAAUUACAUUGCUUUCUUUUUCUUAGUGAAAUCAACUUUGUACUUCUGAAAUAAACUCAACUUAGUCAUGUUAGAUUUUCCUUUUUAUUCUUGCUUUCUUUUAUACUUACUUGAUUUGACUUGUUACUAUUUUGUUAAGGAUUUAUGCAGCUAUUUGUGAAUGAUAUUGUCCUAGAAUUGUCCUUCUUUUUACUCUUUUUAUAAUGUCUUCACUUACUGUCACACUAGCUCUGAAACAUUUUGGAAUUAUUUAUUUCUUGACCAUUUUGAUAGAACUUGCCUAGUAAGGGGCACCUGGGUGGCUCAGUGGUUGUCUGCCUUUGGCUCAGGUCAUGAUCCUGGGGUCCUGGGAUCAAGUCCUGCAUCUGCUUCUCCCUCUGCCUAUGUCUCUGCCUCUCUUUCUGUCUCUCAUGAAUAAAUAAAUGAUAUCUGAAAAAAAAAAAAAAAAA
rnacentral:lncRNA from 1 species